AGUAUUACCUAAAUUUCUAUAUAAGACAGGAAGAUUAAAGGUAUCAAUCAGACUGAAAGAUACAGGUUCACUGAAGAUAAAUGAUGACUUCCUAUUUUAUCCUGACAAAGUUAUUCCUUUGUUUGGCAAUAAUUUUUCAAGAAACAAAUGCAAGUGAUGAAUCAAUUGUUGCCUUCCAUGCGUACGUAUCAAAUAAUCUGAUCUUACCUAGAAACAUGCCUGUCAACGUUGUCUAUGACAAAUUAUUUUUCAACUACGGACACGCGUACAAUCCUCACAGCGGCUUCUUCACAGCGCCAUCUGCCGGGCUUUAUGUUUUCUCUUGGUCAAGCGUUGUUAGAUCUGGGAAACUAUUUGACGCAGAAAUUUUAGUUAAUGGACAUCGGAAAGGAUUGGGCAAUUGCAACAAUGAACAUAGUCGUGGGUAUGAAAACUGCGCAAACACGCUUCCCUUGGUCUUAAACACAAGAGAUACAGUCAAUAUUCGAACAACGAACGCAAAUAGUCUUGAAAGACUUUGGUCAUCUUUUAAAGGAUGGAAAGUUUAAUUACAUAAUUAAACAUAUUUGGAUUUGUUCUCUUUAUCUUGUUAAAAUUUCUAAUUAUGCAUGAUAAAGAAUAUAAAAUAAAACAACAUGUACUCUU